GGGUGGUUUUAGCAGAGGGGCUCACCUGUUCCCAUUCCGAACACAGAAGUUAAGCCCUCUAGCGCCGAUGGUACUGCUAACGCGGGAGAGUAGGUCGCCGCCAGUUU
rnacentral:rRNA from 3 species